ACGCACGCUGGCGGCGUGCUUAACACAUGCAAGUCGAACGGAAAGGCCCUGCUUUUGUGGGGUGCUCGCGUGGCGAACGGGUGAGUAACCCGUGAGUUACCUGCCCUUGACUUUGGGAUAACUUCAGGAAACUGGGGCUAAUACCGGAUAGGAGCUCCUGCUUCCUGGUGGGGGUUGGAAAGUUUCGGCGGUUGGGGAUGGACUCGCGGCUUAUCAGCUUGUUGGUGGGGUAGUGGCUUACCAAGGCUUUGACGGGUAGCCGGCCUGAGAGGGUGACCGGCCACAUUGGGACUGAGAUACGGCCCAGACUCCUACGGGAGGCAGCAGUGGGGAAUAUUGCACAAUGGGCGGAAGCCUGAUGCAGCAACGCCGCGUGCGGGAUGACGGCCUUCGGGUUGUAAACCGCUUUCGCCUGUGACGAAGCGUGAGUGACGGUAAUGGGUAAAGAAGCACCGGCUAACUACGUG
rnacentral:rRNA from 1 species